rnacentral:rRNA from 1 species
AGCGAACGCUGGCGGCAGGCCUAACACAUGCAAGUCGAACGAACUCUUCGGAGUUAGUGGCGGACGGGUGCGUAACACGUGGUAACGUGCCUUUUGGUUCGGAAUAACUCAGGGAAACUUGUGCUAAUACCGAAUGUGCCCUUCGGGGGAAAGAUUUAUCGCCAUUAGAGCGGCCCGCGUCUGAUUAGCUAGUUGGUGAGGUAACGGCUCACCAAGGCGACGAUCAGUAGCUGGUCUGAGAGGAUGAACAGCCACACUGGGACUGAGACACGGCCCAGACUCCUACGGGAGGCAGCAGUGGGGAAUCUUGCGCAAUGGGCGAAAGCCUGACGCAGCCAUGCCGCGUGAAUGAUGAAGGUCUUAGGAUUGUAAAAUUCUUUCGCCGGGGACGAUAAUGACGGUACCCGGAGAAGAAGCCCCGGCUAACUUCGUG